UGCAUCGGCCGGGAAUCGAACCCGGGCCGCCCGCGUGGCUGGCAGGCGAGCAUUUUACCACUGAACCACCGAUGC